GACGAACGCUGGCGGCGUGCUUAACACAUGCAAGUCGAACGGAAAGGCCCUGCUUUUGGGGGGUGCUCGAGUGGCGAACGGGUGAGUAACACGUGAGUAACCUGCCCUUGACUUUGGGAUAACUUCAGGAAACUGGGGCUAAUACCGGAUAGGAGCUCCUGCUGCAUGGUGGGGGUUGGAAAGUUUCGGCGGUUGGGGAUGGACUCGCGGGUUAUCAGCUUGUUGGUGGGGUAGUGGCUUACCAAGGCUUUGACGGGUAGCCGGCCUGGGAGGGUGACCGGCCACAUUGGGACUGAGAGACGGCCCAGAAUCCUACGGGAGGCAGCAGUGGAGAAUAUUGCACAAUGGGCGGAAGCCUGAUGCAGCAACGCCGCGUGCGGGAUGACGGCCUUCGGGUUGUAAACCGCUUUCGCCUGUGACGAAGCGUGAGUGACGGUAAUGGGUAAAGAAGCACCGGCUAACUACGUG
rnacentral:rRNA from 1 species